GACGAACGCUGGCGGCGUGCCUAAUACAUGCAAGUAGAACGCUGAAGGAGGAGCUUGCUUCUCCGGAUGAGUUGCGAACGGGUGAGUAACGCGUAGGUAACCUGCCUGGUAGCGGGGGAUAACUAUUGGAAACGAUAGCUAAUACCGCAUAAGAGUAGAUGUUGCAUGACAUUUGCUUAAAAGGUGCAAUUGCAUCACUACCAGAUGGACCUGCGUUGUAUUAGCUAGUUGGUGAGGUAACGGCUCACCAAGGCGACGAUACAUAGCCGACCUGAGAGGGUGAUCGGCCAAACUGGGAAUGAGAAACGGCCCAGACUCCUACGGGAGGCAGCAGUAGGGAAUCUUCGGCAAUGGACGGAAGGCUGACCGAGCAACGCCGCGGGAGUGAAGAAGGUUUUCGGAUCGUAAAGCUCUGUUGUAAGAGAAGAACGAGUGUGAGAGUGGAAAGUUCACACUGUGACGGUAUCUUACCAGAAAGGGACGGCUAACUACGUG
rnacentral:rRNA from 1 species